AAGAGUAGAUGAACCAUUCAUCUUGUUUUUAAAAUUGGAGAAAUGUCAAUGGCUCGUAUUGCCGGUGUAAACAUUCCGGAC
rfam:Moraxella macacae 0408225 chrom_contig1, whole genome shotgun sequence.